UACGGAGGGAGCUAGCGUUGUUCGGAAUUACUGGGCGUAAAGCGCGCGUAGGCGGCUUUGUAAGUUAGAGGUGAAAGCCCGGGGCUCAACCCCGGAAUUGCCUUUAAGACUGCAUCGCUAGAAUCCGGGAGAGGUGAGUGGAAUUCCGAGUGUAGAGGUGAAAUUCGUAGAUAUUCGGAAGAACACCGGUGGCGAAGGCGGCCAUCUGGACCGGCACUGACGCUGAGGCGCGAAAGCGUGGGGAGCAAACAGG
rnacentral:rRNA from 1 species